AAACCAAUAGCUCAGCUGGUUAGAGCGUGUAGCUGUUAACUACAAGGUCAUCGGUUCGAACCCGAUUUGGU
rnacentral:tRNA from 1 species